GGAAGUGGCCAUCCACAAGCCAAAGAGGGAGGCCUAAGAAACCAAACCUGCUGACAUCCAUCUUCAACUUCCAGAAUGAUGGAUCCAGUCAUACACAGAAAUGACAGAAAAGAAAACAAGGGAAGAAACUGUAUAGUCUUUCUCUGAUCCCUCUACCUGAGACCACUUUCUCCAGGAACAAUUACUUGAGACAAUGAGGGUCCUAAAUAUGAAGAUGAGGAAAAAUGAAAUAUUUUCCCAAGACUUCAGGUCCAUUGGAAAAAAACAGUCUCAAAGAACUGAACCGUGAAGCAGAGAAGAAAAUGCUAUAAUAAAGGGAGAGAGUGGACAGGGAGCAGAAGGAAGGAAAUGGUUAAUUUUGAAGAAAGAAGUCGAGGAUGCUUCAUAGAUGAGCUGGCAUGUGAGUCGGGCUUGCAACACUGAGCACCCGGCCACAGCCACCCUCAUCCAUGGGAAACCACCUUAUAGGUUUGGGAGUAGGAAGUGCUCAGAUCAGUUUUGACUUGUUUUUGUUUUUCACGGUUUUGAAAAGUUGUAAUA